rnacentral:rRNA from 1 species
UAUAUUAAAGUUGUUGCAGUUAAAAAGCUCGUAGUUGGAUUUCGGAAGGUCCUUAGUAAUCCGCCCCUUCGGGGAGCGGGUUGCUGGCCUCCUAUGUUCCUAACGGUCCUCAUCCGCGAGGGUGGGGAAUCAACCGCUAGGAUCGUUUACUUUGAGGAAAUUAGAGUGUUCAAAGCAGGCGUAACUCGCCUCCGAAUACGUUAGCAUGGGAUAAUGGAAUACGACUUCGGUCUUGUUUCGUUGGUUUCGCUUGGCUGAAGUAAUGAUUGAUAGGGACAGUUGGGGGCAUUAGUAUUUAGUUGUCAGAGGUGAAAUUCUAGGAUUUACUAAAGACUGACCAAUGCGAAAGCAUUUGCCAAGGAUGUUUUCAUUAAUCAAGAACGAAAGUAGGGGGAUCGAAGACGAUCAGAUACCGUCGUAGUCUCUACCGUAAACUAUGCCGACCAGGGAUCCGGAGAGUUUGCAUGGAUGACUCCCCGGGCACCUUGUGAGAAAUCAUAAGUGUUUGGGUUUUGGGGGGAGUAUGGUCGCAAGGCUGAAACUUAAAGGAAUUGACGGAAGGGCACCACCAGGAGUGGAACCUGCGGCUUAAUUCGACUCAAC